CAUAUCAAUAAGCGGAGGAAAAGAAACUAACAAGGAUUCCCCUAGUAACUGCGAGUGAAGCGGGAAAAGCUCAAAUUUAAAAUCUGGCGGUCUUUGGCCGUCCGAGUUGUAGUCUGGAGAAGCGUUUUCCGCGUUGGACCGUGUACAAGUCUCUUGGAACAGAGCGUCAUAGAGGGUGAGAAUCCCGUCUUUGACACGGACUACCAAUGCUUUGUGAUGCGCUCUCAAAGAGUCGCGUUGUUUGGGAAUGCAGCGCAAAAUGGGAGGUGAAUUCCUUCUAAAGCUAAAUAUUGGCGAGAGACCGAUAGCGAACAAGUACCGUGAGGGAAAGAUGAAAAGCACUUUGGAAAGAGAGUUAAACAGUACGUGAAAUUGCUGAAAGGGAAACGCUUGAAGUCAGUCGCGUCGUCCGGAACUCAGCCUUGCUUCGGCUUGGUGCACUUUCCGGAUGACGGGCCAGCAUCGAUUUUGACCGCUGGAAAAGGGCUGGAGGAAUGUGGCACCUUCGGGUGUGUUAUAGCCUUCAGUCGCAUACAGCGGUUGGGAUCGAGGAACGCAGCACGCCUUAUGGCUGG
rnacentral:rRNA from 1 species